ACUUCACAGGACUAAACAUCGCUUUUAUAAACCAACCGAGGAACUAAAUGGUCGUUUGCCCUCUUUAAGUUCCUCUGGAUGAAUCACAGGUGUCGUGAGUAAAUCUCAGUCCUUAAAACGGAAAAUGGAAAUCUGAGAGUGGAUCCUCAGCUUGAAGACUUUGGAAAGAGGUGUUUUGGCACUGGAGUACAUCAGGGAAAUUCCCAUCUGAAACGGCUGACAACAUCACAAGCGUGAAUUGCUUCCAUGCCUGGGCCUUAAAGGUGCUGAUGUUCUGGUAGAGCUGGAAGUGGCCAUGGAUCCAGCGGUAGAUGGCAGAGCCUGGUUUGUUGGCCCGAUGAGCCAUAGCAGCAAACAGCCCAACAGAGGGGAUCUGGAAAAGCUCGAUGUCCAGCGUCUCUGAGGUGGUAUAGAGGUCCUGGUAAUCAUCUACAUAGUCUAGUCUGUCUUUCUCUGUAGAUUGAACAGUGUAAAAAAUAAUUACUGAGGAACCUCAGCUGGCAUAACACAAAAUAAACAGUGCAAAAAAAAGUACCAGGGUUUUGGUCAUGGUAAUCAUGAAGUACUGUGGUGUUACCCUCUGAUACUAUAUCACCAUUGCCACAGCACUUCUUGGUAAAGAAUCUGAUCGAUUAUGCUUGAUUAUGUUGUUAAUAAUAAUUAUAGGUUCUGGGAUUUAUAUAAAUAUUGCAUGUUCAAUUUAAAUGUGGCAUGAUUUUCUAAAUAAAAAUGGGAAACUCUAA